GCUGGAAUGGUCUAGUUGGUUAUGACGACUGCCUAACACGCAAUAGGUCCCGAGCUCGAUUCUCGGUUCCAGCA
rnacentral:tRNA from 1 species